rnacentral:rRNA from 1 species
UCAUUGAAUCUAUCGUGCCCACACCGCGAAACUACUUAUGCCCUUCUGGAACAGGCAAACUUUAUUGUUUGCCCUUCAGUUGCGCAGGUCAGGGGCUGGCUCCUUUUGGUGUCAGUUGACUUGACUGGGCGGGUCCAAUACCAGCCGGAUUCACCUUGCCUUCUAGGCUUGGGGUUCUGCCGGCUGUGAGGGGUGGCUGUUUAACUCACUUUAAGCAAUCAAUUCUGAAGGCAGAUCUAUAGGCUGGCUAUGCUGGCUGUAGUCUGAUUAAAUAUAGACAACUCUCAACAACGGAUAUCUUGGCUCCCGUAACGAUGAAGAACGCAGCGAAAUGCGAUACGUAGUGUGAAUUGCAGAAUUCCGUGAACCAUCGAAUCUUUGAACGCAAAUUGCGCUCGAGGCCUCGGCCAAGAGCAUGUCUGCCUCAGCGUCGGCUACUACCCUCAACUAAGUUUCCUAUACACAUAGGGGAUGCCGGUUGGAUCUGGCCGUCCGGUUUGCCUUUUAGGUUGCCGGUCAGCUGAAAUACAUUCACGCUCUGGGGGCUGCUUUCCUUCCGAGGAGAGGCGAGUUCCGAUUUGGUAGGUGACCUUUGCCGGUUGCAUGCCUUCGUUGCCCGCUAAGCUUUCCAGUAUGCGUUGUGCAGGACGCCUUUUGGCUUUCGACC